rnacentral:rRNA from 1 species
AGAGUUUGAUCAUGGCUCAGGAUGAACGCUGGCGGCGUGCCUAAUACAUGCAAGUCGAACGCGAAAGGCUCAACCCUUCGGGGGCGAGCCGAGUAGAGUGGCGAACGGGUGAGUAACACGUAGGUGACCUGCCCCGGAGAGGGGGAUAACCAGUGGAAACGCUGGCUAAGACCCCAUGAGCUCACGAGUGUUAGAGGACUGGUGAGAAAACGCACGCAUCGCAAGAUGCCGUGCUCCGGGAGGGGCCUGCGGCCCAUCAGCUAGUUGGUAGGGUAACGGCCUACCAAGGCGAAGACGGGUAGGGGGCCUGAGAGGGUGGUCCCCCACACGGGAACUGAGACACGGUCCCGACUCCUACGGGAGGCAGCAGUAAGGAAUAUUGCACAAUGGACGCAAGUCUGAUGCAGCAACGCCGCGUGCCCGAGGAAGGCCUUCGGGUUGUAAAGGGCUUUUCUGGCUGAAGAGCAAGGACGGUAAGCCAGGAAUAAGCGUCGGCUAACUACGUGCCAGCAGCCGCGGUAAAACGUAGGACGCGGGCGUUAUCCGGAUUUACUGGGCGUAAAGCGCGGGCAGGCGGUGGCCAAAGUCGGACGUGAAAGCUCCCGGCUCAACUGGGAGAGGCCGUUCGAAACUCGGUCACUAGAGGGCAGUAGAGGGGCGUGGAAUUCCGGGUGGAGUGGUGAAAUGCGUAGAGAUCCGGAGGAACACCAGAGGCGAAGGCGGCGCCCUGGGCUGCACCUGACGCUGAGCCGCGAAGGCCAGGGGAGCGAACGGGAUUAGAAACCCCGGUAGUCCUGGCCGUAAACGAUGUCCACUAGAUGUCGGGUCUGAAAGGCUCGGCGUCGGAGCAAACGCGAUAAGUGGACCGCCUGGGGAGUACGGCCGCAAGGCUAAAACUCAAAGGAAUUGACGGGGGCCCGCACAAGCAGCGGAGCGUGUGGUUUAAUUCGAGGCAACGCGAAGAACCUUACCUGGGCUUGACAUGACGGUGGUACCGAAGCGAAAGCUGAGGGACCCUUCGGGGAGCCGCCACAGGUGCUGCAUGGCUGUCGUCAGCUCGUGCCGUGAGGUGUUCGGUUAAGUCCGCGAACGAGCGCAACCCUUGCCGCUAGUUACAAGUGUCUAGCGGGACUGCCGGUGACAAACCGGAGGAAGGUGGGGAUGACGUCAAGUCAGCAUGGCCUUUAUGUCCAGGGCGACACACACGCUACAAUGGCUGGUACAAUGGGCAGCGAAGCCGCGAGGUGGAGCGAAUCUCCCAAAGCCAGUCGUAGUUCGAAUUGCAGGCUGCAACUCGCCUGCAUGAAGUCGGAGUUGCUAGUAACCGUGGGUCAGCCACACUACGGUGAAUACGUUCCCGGGCCUUGUACACACCGCCCGUCACGUCAUGGGAGCUGGUAACACCUGAAGUCGGUGAGCCAACCGCAAGGGGGCAGCCGCCGAAGGUGGGACCGGUGACUGGGACGAAGUCGUAACAAGGUAGCCGUA